rnacentral:rRNA from 1 species
UCCUACGUGAGGCAGCAGUUAUGAAUCUUCCGCAAUGGGCGAAAGCCUGACGGAGCGAUACCGCUUGAANGACGAAGCCCCUCGUGGUGUAAACUUCUGAACUGGGGACGAUGAUGACGGUACCCAGGUAAUAGCACCGGCUAACUCCGUGCCAGCAGCCGCGGUAAU